AUUGAACGCUGGCGGCAUGCUUUACACAUGCAAGUCGAACGGUAACAGGCCGCAAGGUGCUGACGAGUGGCGAACGGGUGAGUAAUGCAUCGGAACGUGCCCAGUCGUGGGGGAUAACGCAGCGAAAGCUGCGCUAAUACCGCAUACGAUCUCUGGAUGAAAGCGGGGGACCGAAAGGCCUCGCGCGAUUGGAGCGGCCGAUGUCAGAUUAGGUAGUUGGUGGGGGAAAGGCCCACCAAGCCAACGAUCUGUAGCUGGUCUGAGAGGACGACCAGCCACACUGGGACUGAGACACGGCCCAGACUCCUACGGGAGGCAGCAGUGGGGAAUUUUGGACAAUGGGCGCAAGCCUGAUUCAGCAAUGCCGCGUGCAGGAAGAAGGCCUUCGGGUUGUAAACUGCUUUUGUACGGAACGAAACGGUCCGGGUUAAUACCCUGGGCUAAUGACGGUACCGUAAGAAUAAGCACCGGCUAACUACGUGCCAGCCGCCGCCGUAAGAC
rnacentral:rRNA from 1 species